rnacentral:rRNA from 1 species
UGGGACCUACGGGGGGCAGCAGUGGGGGAUAUUGCACAAUGGGGGGAACCCUGAUGCAGCGACGCCGCAUGGGUGAAGAAGCGCCUCGGCGCGUAAAGCCCUGUCAGCAGGGAAGAAAAUGACGGUACCUGAAGAAGAAGCCCCGGCUAACUACGUGCCAGCAGCCGCGGUAAUACGUAGGGGGCAAGCGUUAUCCGGAUUUACUGGGUGUAAAGGGGGCGUAGACGGCUGUGCAAGUCUGAAGUGAAAGGCAAGGGCUCAACCUUUGGACUGCUUUGGAAACUGUGCAGCUAGAGUGUCGGAGA